GAUUAUAAAUUUAAUUAUUAUUAUUGAUUUUUUAAAGUAUUAUUUUAUUUAUUAUUACAAAAGAAAAAUUUUUUUUUAUUAUAGUUUACUAGUAAAGUGAUUGAAUUUAUUUAUAUAUUAAUAAGAAAAAUUUAUUUUUUGUACCUUGUGUAUCAGGGUUGAUUAAUUUUAUAAUUAUUAUUAAUUUUUCUCGAAUUAAGAAGAGCUAAUUAUGUAUAUGUUUAAUUUUUUCAUAAAUUUUCAUAAUAUAUAAUUUGAAAUGAAAUGUUAUUCGUUUCUUAAUAUAUCUAGUUUUUUAAGAAAAGAAUUUAAUUCUCUUAUUAUUUAUUAUUAGUUAAUUUUUAGUUAAUAAUUUUUAGUAUGAAAUAAAUAAAGGGAUAAGCUUUUAUUUUGAUAAUUAAAAAUUUAUUUGGUUUUAUUUUUUGUAUAAUUUAAAUUGUUAAUCAUUUUUAUAAUAUAAUAGUUAAUUUUAUUUAAUUAAUGAUUUAUAUUUAUUUUAAUUUUUUUAUUAAAAAUUUAUGUUUAAUUUUUUAGCUUUUUUAUAAUGAUUAAAUUAGUAGAUAAAUAUGUAUUUAUUAUUUAUUUUUUAAGAUAAUAAAAAGGAACUCGGCAAAUAAAUUUUUCGCCUGUUUAUUAAAAACAUGUCUUUUUGAUUAUAAUUUAAGGUUUAAUCUGCUCAAUGAUUUAUUAAAUUGCCGCAGUAUUUUGACUGUGCAAAGGUAGCAUAAUAAUUAGCUUUUUUAUUGAAAGCUGGAAUGAAUGAUUGGACGAAAAAAUUUCUGUCUCUUUAUUAUUUAUUAUUUAAUUUUACUUUUAAGUUAAAAGGCUUAAAUUUUUUUAAAAGACGAGAAGACCCUAUAGAGUUUUAUUUUUGUUUUUUGAUUGAUUUUUAGAAUUUAAAAUAUUUUAUAAAAUAAAAAAUUUAGUUGGGGUGACUGAAAGAUUAAUUAAACUCUUUUAAUUGAAAUCAUUUAUUUAUGAAUAAAGAAAUUAUUUUUAUAAAUUUAAAAUAAAUUACCUUAGGGAUAACAGCGUUAUUUUUCUUUAGAGUUCUUAUUGAAAGGAAAGAUUGCGACCUCGAUGUUGGAUUAAAAUUUAUUUUUGGUGCAGAAGCUGAAAUAUUAAGUCUGUUCGACUUUUAAAAUUUUACAUGAUCUGAGUUUAAACCGGUGUAAGCCAGGUUGGUUUCUAUCUUUAAAUUUUUAAUAUAUUUUAGUACGAAAGGACCAAAUAUAUAAUAUAUUAUUUUAUUUUGAAUAAUAUU
rnacentral:rRNA from 1 species